CCGUUCCCAUUCCGAACACGGCAGUUAAGCUCUUCAGCGCCGAUGGUAGUUGGGGGUUUCCCCCUGUGAGAGUAGGACGCCGCCAAGC
rnacentral:rRNA from 2 species